UGGGGAAUAUUGGGCAAUGGGCGCAAGCCUGACCCAGCAACGCCGCGUGAAGGAAGAAGGCCCUCGGGUUGUAAACUUCUUUUAUCAGGGACGAAGGAAGUGACGGUACCUGAUGAAUAAGCCACGGCUAACUACGUGCCAGCAGCCGCGGUAAUACGUAGGUGGCAAGCGUUAUCCGGAUUUACUGGGUGUAAAGGGCGUGUAGGCGGGACUGCAAGUCAGAUGUGAAAACCAGAGGCUCAACCUCUGGCCUGCAUUUGAAACUGUAGUUCUUGAGUGUUGGAGAGGCAGGCGGAAUUCCGUGUGUAGCGGUGAAAUGCGUAGAUAUACGGAGGAACACCGGUGGCGAAGGCGGCCUGCUGGACUGUGACUGACGUUGAGGCCCGAAGGCGUGGGGAGCAAACAGGAUUAGAUACCC
rnacentral:rRNA from 1 species